GACGAACGCUGGCGGCGCGCUUAACACAUGCAAGUCGAACGGAAAGGCCUGCUUUCCCUUGUGGAUUGCGGGUACUCGAGUGGCGAACGGGUGAGUAACACGUGAGUGAUCUGCCCCCAACUUGGGUAUAAGCCUGGGAAACUGGGUCUAAUUCCCGAUAGGACUGCAGGGUGGUGCCUGUGGUGGAAAACGAUUUUCUAGUGGUUGGGGAUGAGCUCGCGGCCUAUCAGCUUGUUGGUGGGGUAAUGGCCUACCAAGGCGGCGACGGGUAGCCGGCCUGAGAGGGUGGACGGCCACAUUGGGACUGAGAUACGGCCCAGACUCCUACGGGAGGCAGCAGUGGGGAAUAUUGGACAAUGGGCGGAAGCCUGAUGCAGCGACGCCGCGUGGGGGAUGACGGCCUUCGGGUUGUAAACUCCUUUCGACCGCGAGGAAGCCACCUGGUUGGAAGGGUGGUGACGGUAGUGGUAGAAGAAGCACCGGCUAACUACGUG
rnacentral:rRNA from 1 species